AACGUACUCAGUUCGGAUUGUAGUCUGCAACUCGACUACAUGAAGCUGGAAUCGCUAGUAAUCGCAAAUCAGAAUGUUGCGGUGAAUACGUUCCCGGGUCUUGUACACACCGCCCGUCACACCAUGGGAGGUCGGAAAUGCCCGAAGUCUGUGACCCAACGAAAGAGGGAGCAGCCGAAGGCAGGUCUGAUAACUGGGGUGAAGUCGUAACAAGGUACC
rnacentral:rRNA from 1 species